UACGUAGGUGGCAAGCGUUUGUCCGGAUUUAUUGGGUUUAAAGGGUGCGUGAGGCGGUCUAUUAAGUCAGUGGUGAAAUCUGGCAGCUUAACGUGUCAAGGUGCCAUUGAUACUGAUGGACUUGAGUGAAGGUCGAGGUUGGCGGAAUUGACGGUGUAGCGGUGAAAUGCUUAGAUAUCGUCAAGAACACCGAUAGUGAAGACAGCUAACUAGACUUAUACUGACGCUGAGGCACGAAAGUGUGGGGAUCAAACAGG
rnacentral:rRNA from 1 species